CUUCACACAUGACAAGUCGAACGAGGUAGCAAUACCUAGGUGGCGGACGGGUGAGUACGCGUGGAAUCUGUCCUUUAGAGUGGGGAAGUAACGGGUACGAAAGACUCGCUAAUACCGCAUAUGACGAAAGUUGAAAGGAGUAAUCCGUCUAAAGAUGAGCCCGCGUCCGAUUAGCUAGUUGGUAGAGUAAAAGCCUACCAAGGCGACGAUCGGUAGCUGGUCUGAGAGGAUGAUCAGCCACAAUGGGACUGAGACACGGCCCAUACUCCUACGGGAGGCAGCAGUGGGAAUUUUACGCAAUGGGCGAAAGCCUGACGUAGCGACACCGCGUGAGCGAAGAAGCCCCUUGGGGUGUAAAGCUCUGUCAGCUGGAACGAAAAAAUGACGGUACCAGCAGAGGAAGCAUCGGCUAACUACGUG
rnacentral:rRNA from 1 species